CCCAGCAGGAGGCAGAGCUGCUGCGAGAAGAAGACCCAGGAGAUCUGGGGCAGCGAGCUGUGCGUCUGACAGCGCAGGUCCAGCAGCGUGGGCCCCAGGAAGGCGAUGCACAGGCCGAAGCUGAAGAAGACGCUCCAGUAGGGUCUGGCUCUGUAACCCAGGCUUGAAUGCAGUGGCAUGAUGGGUGCAAUCUUGUUACCUGUUACUGGUCUCUUCAGGUUUUCUUUUUGGCUCAAUCUUGAGAUGGAGGCUCGUUUUGUUGCCCAGGCUGGAGUGCAGUGGCUAUUCACAGGCACAAUCAUCAUACACUGUAGCCUAGAACUCCUGGCCUCAAGCGAUUUUCCUGUCUCAGCCUACAAAGUUGCUGGAACUCUAGAUGUGCCUGCUUCCCCUUCGCCUUCCGCCAUGAUUGUAAGUUUUCUGAGGCCUCUCCAGAAGCAGAAGCCUGUAUAGCCCACAGAACUAUGAGUCAAUUAAACCUCUUUUCUUUAUAAAUUACCCAGUCUCAAGUAUGUCUUUAUAUCAGUGUGAGAAUGUAUGAAUACACCCUCCUUUCCUUAACUUUUUCUAUAAUAAAGCUUUUUAAUUGAGAUAAUUCACAUAUCAUAAUAUUCGCCCUUUUAAAGUGUACAAUCCAGUGGUUUUUAGUGUAUUUACAAGAUUGUGUGACCAUCACUACUAAUUCCAGACCAUUUCCAUCACCCCAAAAAUAAACUCCACACCCAUUAGCAGUCACUUCUCACUCUCUCUUCCCCUCGACUUACUUUCUGUCUUUAUGGAUUUGCCUGUUCUAGAUAUUUCAUAUCUAGAUAUUUCAUAUAAAUGGAAUCAUACAAUAUGUGGCUUUCUGUGUCUGGUUUCCUGUACUUAGCAUAAUGUUUUCAAGGUUCAUCCAUGGUAUCAGUAGUUUAUUCCUUUUUUAUGGCUGAAUAGUAUUCUAUUGUAUGGACAUACCACAUUUUGUUUAUACAUUCAUCAGCUGUUGGACAUUUGGGUUUCUACUUUUUGGCUAUUAUGAAUUAUGCUGCUGAGAAUAUUCAUGCACAAGUUUUUAUGUGAAUAUGUUUUAGUUCUCUUGGGUACAUAUUAGAAGGGUGGUUUGCUGUGUCAGAUAGUAACUCUGUGUUUAACUUUUUGAGACCCUUUCCUCAUUUAAAGAAAUGUUUUUGUCUUAUAGUAUAGUAUGUAUCUCUGUAAGCCACUACAGAUUCCUCUUUUUGGAAUGAGGUGGCAUAUAAAUAAAUAAAUAAAAAGUCACAAAGCACUCCCAAGCCAUCUGUUUAAUAAUCUGUGCCAGAAUGUUGCCAGGAUUCUAUAUUGAGCCGUUUGGUCUAUAAUUUCCAGAAAUACCUUCUGUCUCCUUGUAAAAAUCGGAACAUUUUCCCAUCUCCACUGUCCUCAAGUAUCUAGGUUGUUUUUCAGUCCUACCUGCAAGGGAUUUCAUGACUCUGGUGUCCUACCUGAAUCAGGCCCCCAGAACUCAUCUAUGGCCACAAAAGGUCUGCCCUCCACCUUCUCAUCUGUCUUGUGACACACUUAAAAUGUUUUGUAUCAAAGUAAUUCAUGCACAUGGUUAAAAAUAAACUAGAACAGAAGAGCUUACAGUCCCCUACCUCAUCCCUCCCACCCCUAGUCUU
rnacentral:lncRNA from 1 species